ACCAAAGAGGCAGAGAAGCGGGGGAAGAAGAGAAGAAAUCGCCGCCUGUAGUCGUCGGUCGGAGAGGAGACCGUGCGCCGCGGUCGAGCGCAGUUCGCUGCGCCCUUCCGCAUGCUGGGGGCGGUCGUCGUGGGGUCUCGGAGCUUCUCUGUCGUCGCUAUUCGAGCUCGGAUCCUUUGGUACAUAAGCUUGUUGUUCUUCCAUUGCUGGUGGUGAAGAAUAACUCCGUGAGCGGACUGAGACCUGCGUAUAGCCUUCUAUUGUUUUGGUGAUGUUCGAGUAGGCGGAUUUUUUGUGGAUCUGUGAUUUUGUUCAUGCUUUCGUUCAUGAGCGUGACAAAUUUAGUAGAAGCGGGACGAAUUCGUGGAGUUUUUUAGAUGUUUGUUGCUCCCUUGUUGCUUGUUGUGUGUAGUAGCCCUAUGCCCCCGCUCGUUUUUGUAACUGAGCAUUCUAGAGAUGUGGAGAAGCUGAAGAUAGGGGUGCAUGUACACCACAGUGGAUGCCGUGGAUAUGUGUUUUCGUUGUUUUUGUUUGCAGCAGCGUGAUGUAGUAAUUUCCAGUUGCAGCAGUGUAAUUCGAGUAGGGGUAUUCAAAAUGCAGUGUAUAUACAUUGGGGUAGCUAUGAUUUUCUUCAUUGGAUAUGCAGUAUCAUGCCAAGUGCAGGGGUAUUCAAAAUGUCUGAAAAUGCUAGUGCAACUACUCUGUGUUGUGUGUGUCAGUGUGUGGAGUGAUCUGGAGCUUUUUUGCUUUUACCUAGAGGUAAUUGAAAUGUAAAUGCCUAAAUGCAGUGUAUAUACAGAGUGAUUUUGGAUGUAAAUGCAGUGUGGGUUGAGUGUUUAUUUGUUGAUUUUGGAUGUAUAUAUGCUAUGUGUAUAUGCCUUUGUGUUCUGUGUAUAUGCAUUCCCCAGGGGCAAAUCCAGUUUCAUAGUGUAGAUACAACCGUAGAUGCCGUGUGUGUACACACAAUUUGUAGAUGCAGUGUGUAUGUUUUCCUGCUGCUAGUUGUUUCACGAGGUGGACGAUUUUUCAGGCAGCAAACCCAGUUGUUUGUAUGCAUUUCUAGUACUUUUUCAGAGAUUUUCAUGAUCUGCACGGGUUGGUUGUUAGCCAGUGUGUCAGACAAUGUUGUCCACCUGUUGUUUUCCUUCCGCAUAUACACUGCGUAUAGUGUAUAUGCAUAGUAUAUAUAGUGUAUAUGCAUAGUAUAUAGUGUAUUUACAUAGUGUAUAUGCAUAGUGUAUUUACAUAGUGUAUAUGCAGUGUAUAUUCUUAGUGCAUAUUAUAUAUAGUGUAUACAAUUGGUUAUGAAUAUUAUAUAUAGUGUAUAUGCAAAUGUAAACACACUGUAUACACAUACACAUUGUAACUGUUAUUUUAUUUGGAUAUAAAUGUACAGCUGGUUGAUUCUUUGAUUCAAUUAAUAUACAUUGAUCUAUUUUCUUUUCAUAAUAGAUUCAAAACUUCGUUACCCUGUGGAAUAUUCUUGUAACUCCUCACAUGUCUUACCAAAUAGACUUUGGUGAAUACCAAACAAGAUAUCCAGCUGUUCCAAAACAGAACAACAGUGAUGAUUGUGGUGUGUUCAUGAUGAAGUUCAUGGAAAUCCAUGAUCCAAGAGCUCAAAUGUAGAAUGCAUUUCCUCAAGCCGACAUCAUAAACCUGAGGAUCAAAUAUGCCAACGAAUUUACUUCAGCAAUUUUAAUACCAUAGAGAUAACUAUUGUAUCGGAAUACUUUGGUGAUGUUGGAAUGUUAAGAGAUCAAGAUUACAAGUCCAAAACGCGAUGUUCUUUGAUCACCAGACGAGGUGUGGGCUGAGGGGUGCCAGGGGAUUUAUUUGCUUAGUAUUUUUGUUACCGAUGUAUAUGAGGGUUGUCAAAAGCCCAAACUUGUAAUGUACGUAAAGCUAGAAGCAAAUAUAGUUCUAUUUUUUCACUGUAAGAUACUGCAGAUGUUUGCGUAACUAUGAUUUUGCAUACAGAAUGGAUGAUUCCGAAUCAAUGUGUA